UACGUAGGGGGCUAGCGUUAUCCGGAAUUACUGGGCGUAAAGGGCGCGUAGGUGGUUUCUUAAGUCAGAGGUGAAAGGCUACGGCUCAACCGUAGUAAGCCUUUGAAACUGAGAAACUUGAGUGCAGGAGAGGAGAGUAGAAUUCCUAGUGUAGCGGUGAAAUGCGUAGAUAUUAGGAGGAAUACCAGUUGCGAAGGCGGCUCUCUGGACUGUAACUGACACUGAGGCACGAAAGCGUGGGGAGCAAACAGGAUUAGAUACCCUAGUCCCUGAG
rnacentral:rRNA from 1 species